GUAUAUGGGUGAGGUUCGAGAAACGAGCAGGAACGAAAUAGAAGGGCACGGCAGAAUGGUGGAUGGGGGCAGAGAGACAGAUGAUGGAGGGAAGGAAAGCGCAUGUUUGCAUCUGUCUCUGUGUUUUAGAUGGAGUGAAGGAGAGAGUAAGGGAGCGACGGAGAGAAAGGCAGACGGAGGGGAGCUGAUAUAGUGGGAGAGGGAGGUAGAGGUGGCUACGUGGAGCAGCACCCCACUUCAUCAGGCAGCAUACAGCAGCCCUGCAGUGCGAUCACACAGCAUGGGCAUGGGGCUAUGAGAGCGGGAGAAAGAAAGCAGAGAAAGACGAGAUCCAGGAGGAGGGGGGAGUGAAAAAGAAGAGCUUGAGGGAUUUGCUCGGAUGAAAAGGGGGGAUGAUCACUUUUCAUCCUCUGCCUGUCGUGGAUGCUGGAAGGACGUGGCAGCAGGGGCUGAGGUUGAGGCAGGUCUGUGGUGCUCUGUGUUGAAGUGGCCGGCAUCAGGACGCUCUGCCCUGUAAGGGGUACGCUCUUGUGUGUGUGAGUGUGUGCGUGUGUGUUCCAGGAGCAGCAGCUGUAACUGCAUCUGCACUGCCUGCAUGUCUCAGACAGGCAAGGGAUGCAGCAAACCUCUGCCCUGAGCACAGAGAGGCUGCUAGCUGCACCCAGCGAGGAGAAGAACCGGGAGGGCUGGGACUGGAUUUCGAAGCUUGGUGGCCUCAAAGAGGAGCUGCCUGGACCCACACAGAGGUCCUGCAGUGAUACUUGCUUCAGAGUCAGGAGGAUCACCUGCCGCGUGUUGGAUGUGAACCUGGAUUUAACGCUUUGAGAGAUGAGAGGCACAUUCUUUGGCGGAGCCGCACAGACAGCAGCCUGCUGAAGAGUGUGAAUGCUGGGCAGCACUGGAACCACCAAGGACACUGAGUUUUUUCCUACUAGGAGAUUCAACAAGGAAUAUAUACGUGGAUUUCAUUUUCAAUGAGGAUUUUGGAAUCGGCACACUGUGGAAAUCCCAAGCCCUUGUUUCUUUGAUGCAGGAUUUACAAUAUGUCUACCUGAUGUUACUCCGUGUGGCUCUGGAGUAAGGACAGAACACGCUUUUACGCAAAUGUCUAUUCCUUCAUCAAAAAUAACAUGAGUACCUCAAUAGUACUUAGUAUGCUGCUACCAUCAUUGUAUGAGCCUUGUCCUAGCUCUCAAAGAGGUUGACCAAUGAAGCCAUGGGACUCAGCCAGAGCUUUACAAGUAUGUGGUGAAAACGAUGUCCCUCUGGGGGAACUAAACACUCGCUUCUGUCCUAAAGAAGUAUUUUUGUGAUUUUAGCGUAAAAGACAUCUUUUGGAAAAGUAAAUAAUGUAGGGUUUAUGAAAAAGCCUGAUUUAGUGAUACAUCUUUUUUCCUGUUUCCCCUCAUCCUAAAAAAAACAGCAAUCCUUGUUAUUUGUAACGAUUAGCCUUGUUUUGUUUCCUGGACGAGCUAGAGACACUUUUCCGCACUUGCUCAUCUGCUAGGUAAAGGAAUGCUUAGUGAACCCUCUUUGUUGGAUGAUGCCGCCAUGGCUCAGUCCAACAAAACUAACUCCACCAAGCGUCAGAUGAGCUUUCCUCCCCGCACUACCUCCACCCUCGCCUGACAUCUUCACUCAGUCUUUCUAACACCAGUAAGGUGUCAGAUUAGCCUAGUCAGUCUCCUGCAGGGCCCGAGCAGUGCCUGCAGCACUUCCUUUCCUCCUCCUGUGUUUGAAUUUAGCCGGGCCCCCGCCUGCACUGUGGGAGCCCCCUUAUCCCUGGCCUGGACCCUGUCUCCCCCCCACCUUGCCUGGUGCUGCUGCACUCGGCUCUGCUUCUGCUGGCCGAGGAUGAUGUGGCAAUGCCAUGUGUCGUCCUCUGAGUGCCGCUGCUACCGGCUGAACGGCUUCUCCCUGCUGAAGCGCUUCCCUCUCUCGGCAGAUGGGGCCUGUGGUAAAGCCCUGGACCAGCCGGUGGGAGAGUGGCUGGAGCACGUGGGGCUGCCGCAGUACGAGAACAAGUUUCUGCUCAAUGGCUUUGAUGACCUACGAUUCAUGGGAAGUAACGUGAUGGAAGACCAAGAUCUCAGAGACAUGGGGAUCACUGACCCGGGACACAGAAAGAAAAUUCUUCAUGCAGCACGCAAUUUGCCCAAGGUGAAAGCAUUGGGCUGUGAUGGCAGCACCUCUCUUGCUUCCUGGCUGGAUGGACUGGGCCUCCACGAAUAUCUGCCCAAUUUCCUCACAAAUGGAUACCGCACACUGGAGUGUGUCAAGAACUUAUGGGAGCUGGAGAUUGUCAAUGUGAUUAAGGUUGGGCCUCUAGGCCAUAGAAAGAGAAUCAUUGCUUCUCUAGCAGAGAGACCCUAUGAAGAAGCUCCCUCCAAGUCCCGUCGUCUGUCGCCAAUAAUGUUCCAUGACCUCCUGUCUCAGACCACAUCUCCUCUCAGCCAGAUGGACCCCUACACCAGUCGCUCCAUGGACACGCUUCUCCCCUUGUCUGAAUCUGACCGGAGGCGGAGAGGAGUGGACCAAGACUGUAGCAUAUCUCUGAGAUCCUAUAAUGAGAGGCCACGCUCUGUGGACAGACACGGCGAUCGACACAAAGAGUCUAGAUCGAACUUUCGGUUGACAAACCACUCUGCCACAUACGCUACAGUUUCCGCCUGGCAUCACCAGCCUGAGAAACUCAUCCUGGACUCCUGCGGCUAUGAGGCAACAUAUCUAGGAUCAUUGAUAAUCAGGGAUCUGCGAGGGAUCGAGUCCACUCAAGAUGCUUGUGCUAAAAUUAGGAAAUCAAAGGAUUCAAAAAAGGGUCCAGUGGUCAUACUGUCCAUUACCUAUCGAGGCGUCAAGUUUAUUGAUGCAGCCACAAAGACCAUAGUUGCAGAGCAUGAGAUCAGGAACAUUUCAUGUGCUGCUCAAGACCCAGAUGACCUCUGCACUUUUGCAUACAUCACCAAGGAUCAGAAGAGUGGUCACCAUUUCUGCCACGUCUUCAGCACUGUGGAAGUGACCCAGACCUAUGAGAUUAUCUUAACACUGGGACAAGCAUUUGAGGUGGCCUACCAAAUGGCGGUUCAGUCCAGGGCAAGACAAUAUGUGCCCCCAUCAUCUCAAGGCUCCGAAUUUGUAGAAACUAAAGCCAGCCGUCCAAUGUCUCAGUCCUGGAGCAGCAUGCGAAGAUCAGCGGGUGCACCUCUGCUCGAAUGCCGCUGCUGUCACUGUCACACGUGUACUACCCACCGUCCUUCCUUCCUCCCGUUGCACUCUGUUAGCCCCGGAAUCCAGAUCGACCCCCUGGAGAUGGACGCAGACAUGCAGUCCUUGGGCAGCACCACCUGGCUCUGUGAUCACCGGGACUACAGCCGGCGUCCCGUCAGCACCAAGUACGAGACCACCAUAUUCUGAGGCCGGAUCCACACCGCAGUUCCCUCACUGCACCUCUUCGUAGUUUCCUCUCCCCUUGAAUCCGGCUCUCUAUUUUUCCUCUUUGACACGAGAACACACACUCACACAGAUGUACAUGCGAGCCCCGUGCCUUCUCACUGUGAUGGUAAAGCAUCCCUCAGGACUGCCUACUCCUGCACCCUCCUUUGCCCUGCCCAGCAACCCCACAUCAACCUCCUACCUGCUGUUGCAAACACCCCCUUGGCCUCCCUGAGCUCCCCCGACACCCCUGGCAGCCUCCUUCGCCUGUUGCUGCUGCAACCAAUGAUGGAGCUCUGAAACGGAUGAUCCCGGACUGACCUGCUUUUUCAGCCAAACUUCCUCUUCCUUCUCUUCCUUACAACUUGCAUCUGCCUCCAAAUCCCAGAUAGCUCCCCAAGCCUUUCCUGUCUUACCAGGCAUCUACCACUGUGAGCCACUUUGGAGAGGAUGCUUUGAUAGCAUGGGAUGCAAGAUGGACAGUUAGUCUGUGAAAGACAAAACAGCAACAUGCAGCCGACAACCAGUUUUUUCUACUCAUUUGUAAAGUACUAAUAGUAAGACCACAAAAAGUUGAUCACCGAUGUCUAAACUCGAAGCAGACCGAGGACUGAGAGCUUGUGAAUAACACAGGAGGACACCUUUCCUACAUUUUAUCGAGGACUACCGCCUUACGUCAUGACAGUUACCUGUAACUGACCUCCUUCCCCUGCCCUUCCACCAAACAACUGCACGCCUCCGACCUGUUUGUAAGAGACAUUAGAAAACACUAAAAAAAGACUUCACUUCUGAUUUUUUAGAAUAUUAAAUUGACUGUGACUGGCUGGGAAGACGUUUGUCCAGUGAUGGUACAGGUUUGUCAGGAUGAGUCUUUGGUCUGGCCUUGUUCUGCCCAGUGCCUGUCAGCAUUAAUGGUAGCACCAAGAGCCUGCAAGUCAAAGAAUCCCAGAACUUCUCCAUUUAAAAGAAAAAAAAAGUGAGGAAAAGCACUGUGUUGAGAAUAUAGCACUAUCCCUUUUAAAACGUUGUUUUCGUACAGUGAAAGUAGGAUUUAGUGAGUUUUGUGAUACUUUUUGAUAGGCAAGGCCAAACUAAACCCCUCUGGAAGAACUGAUCAUAAAGAGUCCCGCUAUUUUUGAGAACUUGAGGCAAAAAACAGGGAACGAAAAUCAUAGUAGACUACAAAGAUAAUCAAAUAAAGCAUACUAACAAAAGCUUCCAUAGGUCAAUUCAUUUGUAACUUCCACUUCAUGAUGACUUCUCUCCAAUCUAGUGUAUUGAUGACCCCCCCCCCCCCCCUCCCCGAACCUUUUUCUGACAUUGCAUCACUUUAUGAAUACACUGGUAGGUAUCCAUGUCACUGUAAUGUAGAAUUUCUACACGUGAAGUUUGUCACUUGAAAAUAAAUGGUGGUGAAAAACUUAAUUCCACCACACCAAAAGAGCCAAAUCUAAAUGUCGUUCUGGUUUGAUGGAAUGGAUUUGUUAUGCUGGGAUUAUGCCACAAUUUUUUUAUAGUAUUUUCUUCUGCACUGUGACUGAAAAUGUGCUUGUGGAGUCGACACAAAUCGGCGUCCUCCUGCGUGUGCCGACCCACUAUGUGUGCUGUUUGCAUUGUUCGUGUCUGUCCCCAUUGAAGUUUGGACUGUUACAUCGCUGGCCUCUGUCCUUGCUUCUGUGUGCUGCUGGAGAGGCGGGGAUUGAGCCCCUCUCCAAAGGCAGUGUGUCUGAGGGGCCGACUGUUUAGAUGUGGCCGCUCCAUGUGUGGUACUGUGGCUGUGUCAUUGCCACUCUGUUCUGACUGUUUUUGUUAGCUUCCAAUGAUGGUGCAUGUUGGCAGCGUUUCUGUGUUUUGUCCCCUCUGAUGCACUCGGCCUGAGCAGUCUUUGUAUGCACUGUUGCGGCACCUAGACUCCUCUCACUCAUCUUCCAUUUGCUUUUUUUCUUCAUGUUCCCCUUUCUGUUUACACGCAAAUGCCGUAAUUCACUCUCAUCCUUCCAUGUCACCCCAAAGUUGUUGUCUGGUUCUUCCAUUUUGUGUGUUACCAGGACAACCUGCUCCAGUAUGUAUGCUUAAUUAAAAAAAAAGGGCAUUACACUUUAUUGAACAGUUAUUUGGAGCAAGUUUUGGUGGUAUGAUGCGGUGCCAUGUGCAUGAUGCAAAUGUUUUUAACGGCGGUUGUUUUCCUCGUGUAGCUCGCCCCAGCGUUCAAGCUUCCGGAUACCAAGCUGUGAGUUGAAGGGGAGCAGCCGAUGCAAGUGUGUUUGGGUGGGUUGAGUAAAUAUUGAGCAGAGCUCUGCGAAAGCAGAAGCGGGAGAAACAGAGAGGUAAGGUAAGGUGCAGCCGGCACUAUUUAGGUUUCACUGCGUAAAAGCUCUCGCACCUCCACUGCCCCUGAAACGACCCAGACUCUGAGAAAAGGUCAACCAAAAUGGGCCACGUGUAUUUCCUGUGAAUUUUUGAUCUUGCCAUGUAGGUUUAAUUAAUGUAGAGCACUGUCAUCCAUUAAAUAUAUCGACCAUUUAUUGGGAUUUUUCUCAUUAAGGGCAAAGACAGCUAGUGGGAUUUAUUGAAGGCUGAGAAAAUAAAACAUAUACAUAUAAUAAAAUAAAAAAGACUGUACCAGCAUACAUCACUUUGCCUAUGGUUGUGAACAUGUUAUGGUUUAUCACUAAAAAGUGAUACUGUCUCAAUUUUUAAAGCAAUAUUAUAGUUAUGACACUAAAUAGUAAGAAAAAAAUAGAAAAAGAGUCCCUCUGGAGUUCUGUUGUCAGUUUGGAUUUUCUUUAUAUAACCCGGUUAUCAAAAAAAAACCAUCACAGCAGCUGUUAGAAAUGAAAAAUGACAGAAGAACAUUGGGAAUAAUUGUACAGUUGUAUAUUCAAUGAUUCCCCUGCUGAAAGAAUUGGUGGGUGGUGGAACUUGUAGUCUAAACAAACGAUUAGCCCUGUUAUUGUCUCUCACUUGCUUUAUCGGCUUCAGAGUUGAGCAUCUGACUGCUUGCUGUUCUUUACAAACACACACACCAGUCUAUCUCUGUCAGUUUCACCAUCACCCCCAGAGUCAUGCUUGAUUUAUGCUUGGAAAUAACAGCUUAAAAAAAGGUAGAGGUACCACAAAAGAAUCUUACCUUUGUGCUCCUUAUGAUUUGUCACAGUGUUGCUAUUUUCUUUAUUUCACAAUUUGCCGUUUUUAUUUUGUUUUCUCUCUCCUGUGCUAAACUAUCUGGAUUAAAGUGUGUAUUUUUGACUGAAAUCUUUUGGGACAAAUUGAAAAUACAUUUGAAAACUAAUCAAAUGCCCGAAAACUAUCAAAAAGGGCUGCUCUGCUCUAAGACAUUUAUCAACUUUUUUGACUUUUCCCAGUAACGUCUGAUUAGUCCUUUUUGGACUAAAGUGUCAGAGUUGGAGAUCAUAGACAGUUUAAAUUUUUUUUCAUUGCAUGUGAUGACUCACUGUGUGGAUACAAUCCCUCAAACUAACAUUAUAUUACUCCCUUAGAAGUGCUUUUUAUAGCUCCAGGUGUCCACCAGUAUGUAUUUAAUUUGAAAUGAUGCAGAAAUACUUGCUAACAGACGUAACCAUUGAACUUUUUUGACUUGUGUUAGAUGAUCCAACAGAGUGAACCUCUGUUCACUAAACUGACAGAAAAAGGGAAUCAUCUUCAUAUGGAUACUUCAAAUUGGGUUAUUUCAAAAUUUUAUAUAUAUAUAUACAUAUAUAUAUACAUAUAAAUAUAUACUGCAUCCUAUUUUUGUAUGUAUACUAAUAAAUAUUUAAAAUGAAAUGUAAGCCAGUAAAAUGCUACAAUCAGACUAAUAUUGCAGCAAAAACACUGCAAACAAAGCAAAGUUGAGCAUCAGUUCUCUGUGGUGGAUAAACCAACAAGAGCUUAAGUUUUUUAAAUUCUUUUCAUACUGAAUGAAAAUUGCUUCCGUAAUAAUAUGGUAACCAUUUGCCUGUUAUCUGCAUUGUGAAAAUGAGUAUCAAUAAAUAUGCCUCAAAGAAAUGUUCCUUGAGACAAAAUAAUUGGAUUAUAUUAAUAUGGAUUUCCAAGGAUUUUCAGAUGUUUGAAGUGAGAAAUCAGCUACAAAUCGUUUUUUCUUUUUUUUCUCAACCCAUUGUUGGUCUGUUCUGUAUAGUUGUCAUUCCAUCUCUAAACAAGUUUUUCUUCAAUUCUUGAUGCUUCUAUUUUCAAAGGUUCUCUGUAAUGUUUGAGUGUAAAACCUGAAAAUGAAUCCCAUUGAUUUUUGUUUGCAAAUGAAACACAGCUGUGUUCAUCAUCCCCUUGUAACGCAAAUAACAGUAUCAAAACACAUAUAUAUUUAUUUUAUUUACAUCUUUGGUAGUUUUGAAAGCUCAAACAAAAAAAAAGUGCAUUUCAUCUUUUUGUAAACCAGCAUAAACCAUAAAGACACCCAGCUACAUUUGAAAGCAUUAUACAAAGUCAAAUUUACAAAGCCACAGCACCCCCCCCCCCCCCCCCAACAUUACAUUGUUUGGUUCUCACUAAAUGUGACUGUUUCUUUCUACUGCAGUCUUAGUUUGUUUUGUGUACACAGAUUUGUGAUGUACAUGUGCUAUAAUAAAUAUUCAGUAACUGCCUUA